CGUGGGUAACCUGCCCAAGAGAUCGGGAUAACACCUGGAAACAGAUGCUAAUACCGGAUAACGACAGAUGAUGCCUAUCAACUGUUUAAAAGAUGGUUCUGCUAUCACUCUUGGAUGGACCUGCGGUGCAUUAGCUAGUUGGUAGGGUAACGGUCUACCAAGGCGAUGAUGCAUAGCCGAGUUGAGAGACUGAUCGGCCACAUUGGGACUGAGACACGGCCCAAACUCCUACGGGAGGCAGCAGCC
rnacentral:rRNA from 1 species